CCUGUGGUCCUAAUCACACUGUGUGCACUGGUCUUCUACAGAAAAAGGAAAGUACAAAAUGAGAAUGAAGCAAAUGAUGAGGUUGUGAUGUACGAGAACUGUCCAGCUCCCCCUUCAGAGCCUGCAGACUCCACUUACCAGAGUCUCAGUGCAGACACAAGAGACCACACCCACAUCUACAGCUCCCUCCACCCACAGCCCCCACCCAGCAGCAACACCGCCCCCUGCUGAUCAAAGCCUCUGACUACACCCAGUCAUGUCAAAAGUGAUGCUGAAUAUGUCGGGAAUAUUUUUACAUGUGACGCAACAAUCCAGGCAAAAUAAUAAUAAACAUUUUUGAGUGUUGAGAGAAGACGACUUUGAAUUAAUGGAUUAAAUAAACAUGUGAAUGAAACAAAAUACAAUUCUGGGUAUGUUUUUGUCGAGGGGAAAACAGAAUAACAUUUUUAAAUCUUUUAAAAUGUCGUUUUCUUUCAUAUGUGUGUCAUUUCCUUGUAAACCUAAACA